rnacentral:rRNA from 1 species
GUGCCUAAUACAUGCAAGUCGAGCGAACAGACGAGGAGCUUGCUCCUCUGACGUUAGCGGCGGACGGGUGAGUAACACGUGGAUAACCCACCUAUAAGACUGGGAUAACUUCGGGAAACCGGAGCUAAUACCGGAUAAUAUAUUGAACCGCAUGGUUCAAUAGUGAAAGACGGUUUUGCUGUCACUUAUAGAUGGAUCCGCGCCGCAUUAGCUAGUUGGUAAGGUAACGGCUUACCAAGGCAACGAUGCGUAGCCGACCUGAGAGGGUGAUCGGCCACACUGGAACUGAGACACGGUCCAGACUCCUACGGGAGGCAGCAGUAGGGAAUCUUCCGCAAUGGGCGAAAGCCUGACGGAGCAACGCCGCGUGAGUGAUGAAGGUCUUCGGAUCGUAAAACUCUGUUAUUAGGGAAGAACAAAUGUGUAAGUAACUAUGCACGUCUUGACGGUACCUAAUCAGAAAGCCACGGCUAACUACGUGCCAGCAGCCGCGGUAAUACGUAGGUGGCAAGCGUUAUCCGGAAUUAUUGGGCGUAAAGCGCGCGUAGGCGGUUUUUUAAGUCUGAUGUGAAAGCCCACGGCUCAACCGUGGAGGGUCAUUGGAAACUGGAAAACUUGAGUGCAGAAGAGGAAAGUGGAAUUCCAUGUGUAGCGGUGAAAUGCGCAGAGAUAUGGAGGAACACCAGUGGCGAAGGCGACUUUCUGGUCUGUAACUGACGCUGAUGUGCGA